UACGUAGGGGGCUAGCGUUGUCCGGAAUCAUUGGGCGUAAAGCGCGCGUAGGCGGCCAGAUAAGUCCGGUGUGAAAGUCACAGGCUCAACCUGUGAAUGCCGCUGGAAACUGUCUGGCUAGAGUCCGGAAGAGGCGAGUGGAACUCCUGGUGUAGCGGUGGAAUGCGCAGAUAUCAGGAAGAACACCAACGGCGAAGGCAGCUCGCUAGGACGGUACUGACGCUGAGACGCGAAAGCGUGGGGAGCGAACAGG
rnacentral:rRNA from 1 species